rnacentral:lncRNA from 1 species
UGGAAAUGAAGAUGGCAGGGGAGUCACGGGAGCAACACACAUGUGGUCGUGCUGCUAAGGAGUAGGAUGAAAAUAUUGAGAGAUGAAAUGGAGAUGGGAAUCCAGGAAGAAGACGGGCUGGGUGAGAAGAUAAGGUUGAAAACCAAUAGUUAUUCGUGGUUGCUGGGUUCGUUGUUUACAGUCGGCUGUAAGGAAUCAGUUUCCUGGGAAAAACCAAAAAAGUCAGCUUUACGGAGUUUCCUGGUAGCUAUCAUCUGAGAUUUGAAAACUCAGAUUUGAAACUUGUUUGACAGAAAUAAAAAUAAAAUAAAGUACGUGUGUUGCUAG